rnacentral:lncRNA from 1 species
GAGCUUGAGAAGGAAUCAGAUUCUGCAUAUAUUUCCAAGUUAACAUGAACAAGAUUUUCUGAAAGACUGCUAUGGAGUCUGAGAAAAAAUGUCAAAGAUUGAGGACAUGAAGAGGAAAGAACUGACAGAGGAGGUGAAGAAAGGUGAUCAGGAAGAGCCAUCAAAGUGUUAUCCUGGAAUUCAAGUGAAGACAGUGUUUCAAAGUGGAAAUGAACAGUGUCCUGUAACCCUCAGAGUGAGACUAGAGUCAGAAUGCAAGCUUUUCUCAUUUGAAAUCUCUCACCUGUCUUCCCUCCCCCACUUCUGUGUUCCCGAGUGAAAGGCAUACAAGGAAUCAACAUAUGCAAGGAAACAAAUGAGAGUGGUUGUGCUACCAAGGCCUGAAACUUCGGAAAAACCUGCAUAACACAAAAUAUUAAAUAUGCCACAGAGAGGAUCCAGAGAGCUCAUCUCCGGUCAGUUAUCUGUAUUUGCAUGUCAACUACAGCAUCAAAAAGCAUAGGCAUGGAUACUAAGGACCCCCUCUGUACACCAACGCCAGUCCAAAGGAUAGUGUGUCACUGUGAACUGGAAAUUCAUCUCUCUUCUUCAUUUUUUUUCUACCUACUUUAUGCUUUAUCUCUAAGUUGAGGCUGUUUAUGGCCUCAUCCUCAAUUACCUUGUCCC